rnacentral:rRNA from 1 species
UACGUAGGUGGCAAGCGUUGUCCGGAUUUAUUGGGCUUAAAGGGUGCGUAGGCGGUCCUAUAAGUCAGUGGUGAAAUACGGCAGCUCAACUGUCGAGGUGCCAUUGAUACUGCAGGACUAGAGUACUGAUGAGGUAGGCGGAAUGGACGGUGUAGCGGUGAAAUGCUUAGAUAUCGGCCAGAACACCGAUAGCGAAGGCAGCUUACUAAAGAGUAACUGACGCUGAGGCACGAAAGUGUGGGGAUCAAACAGG